rnacentral:rRNA from 1 species
UAGUUAAACGGCCGCGGUACCCUAACCGUGCAAAGGUAGCACAAUCACUUGUCCUUUAAAUAAGGACUAGUAUGAACGGCCCCACGAGGGCUAUACUGUCUCCCCCCUUCAAUCAGUGAAACUGAUCUCCUCGUGAAGAAGCGAGGAUCAUACCAUAAGACGAGAAGACCCCAUGGAACUUUAAACUAGCAUCACCCCCCCACAACCUAAACCGCAUGAUUUCUAGUCUUUCGGCUGGGGCGACCACGGAGAAAAACAAAACCCCCGAGAUGAAAGGAAGUAUCCUUAUCCCAGAACUACCAUUCCAAGAAUCAACAAAUGACACCACUGACCCAACACACCUUGAUCAACGAACCAAGCUACCCUGGGGAUAACAGCGCAAUCCAUUUCAAGAGACCUCAUCGACAAAUGGGCUUACGACCUCGAUGUUGGAUCAGGGAUUCCUGGUGGUGUAGCCGCUACCAUAAAGGUUCGUUUGUUCACU